rnacentral:rRNA from 1 species
UCCUACGGGGGGCAGCAGUAGGGAAUCUUCCACAAUGGGCGCAAGCCUGAUGGAGCAACACCGCGUGAGUGAAGAAGGGUUUCGGCUCGUAAAGCUCUGUUGUUGGAGAAGAACGUGCGUGAGAGUAACUGUUCACGCAGUGACGGUAUCCAACCAGAAAGUCACGGCUAACUACGUGCCAGCAGCCGCGGUAAUACGUAGGUGGCAAGCGUUAUCCGGAUUUAUUGGGCGUAAAGCGAGCGCAGGCGG